rnacentral:rRNA from 1 species
UCCGCCUGGGGAGUACGGCCGCAAGGCUGAAACUCAAAGGAAUUGACGGGGGCCCGCACAAGCGGUGGAGCAUGUGGUUUAAUUCGAAGCAACGCGAAGAACCUUACCAGGUCUUGACAUCCUCUGAAAACCCUAGAGAUAGGGCUUCUCCUUCGGGAGCAGAGUGACAGGUGGUGCAUGGUUGUCGUCAGCUCGUGUCGUGAGAUGUUGGGUUAAGUCCCGCAACGAGCGCAACCCUUGAUCUUAGUUGCCAUCAUUAAGUUGGGCACUCUAAGGUGACUGCCGGUGACAAACCGGAGGAAGGUGGGGAUGACGUCAAAUCAUCAUGCCCCUUAUGACCUGGGCUACACACGUGCUACAAUGGACGGUACAAAGAGCUGCAAGACCGCGAGGUGGAGCUAAUCUCAUAAAACCGUUCUCAGUUCGGAUUGUAGGCUGCAACUCGCCUACAUGAAGCCUGGAAUCGCUAGU